GCAACCAAGUGGGGCACAUUAGUGUUGCUUGCCCUGUGAAAUGGCAGCCAGCAUCAUCAGCUGGGGAGGGACGCUCCUCAGAACCAACGUCCUCUGUGUUGUUUGUAACCAGAUCAGAAGGCAGCAACAAUGUGAAUCUGCAACCUGUGACAGUUGGAAGAGAGGUAACUGUGGGACUCAGGGACACUGGGGCAGAUGUGACUCUUGUGCGUCCAGAGC